ensembl:lncRNA
AAGACUUUUUUUUUCUGGUACCAGGGAUUGAACUCAGGACCUUGCGCUUGCAAAGCAGGCGCGGAACCACUGAGCUAAGUCCCCGGCCCUGAAGAUUCUCUUUAAACACAACUUAAAUAUUGCCUCUCCCUUCCCUUUUCAGAAUUAUAGCUUGGUUGUAGUUUCCUAGAAUAAAGUUGAUACAAGGACCAAACUGAUUUGUUUGAAGUUCUACUCAUCUAUCAAGAGACAUUCAUUGAAAUGUUUGCAAUGGAUCCAGGCUAAGGCCUUUACGUCUCAGCAUUUUAGACCAUUAUAAGCCCAAAACUGGUCACUUGGAAGAGGCUGGUUAUCAUUCUGGGACCUGGAGGCUGCUGUCCCCUUCCUGCCUCCUCCCUCAGCUUUCUCUGCUUCCUGUCUGCCAUGCCAGUUCGAGCAGCUCUCCUCCACUGUGGCCUGUCCUUGCAUCCUGCCUUGGAGCCCACUGACCAUGCAAGAUUAAGACUACUAAAAUGUCUUCAUAAAUGAAGAAAUGUGUCAGGAGUCACAGUCAGAGUGAUAGGAUGUGAGAAAGACUCCCUGGCCAUCGAUGGCUUUGAGGAUGGGAGGGAGCCUUGAGCCAAGGAUUGAAGGCUACCUCUAGAAGCUGGAAGAGGCAAGAAACAGAUUCUCCACAGAGCCUCCAAAAGGAACACAUUCCUGUGGACACCUGCUAUUAGCCAAACAAGGCCCUCUCUAUGUCCACAAUUUU